UCUCUCUGUGUGUGAGGGACAAUGGCUGCUGGGAGAAGCUUCUUAGGAUGUGCUGUGUUGUGUCAGUGGGAUCUGUCUGAAGUGAAACAGACAGAGGAAGGAUCCCUAAACCUUAACAGGGAGAAAUCUGUGCAGUAGCCUCUCUGUAAGGAGCAGAGGGAAUACUGCUGAGGUGAAAGUAUAAGAUGAAACUGUAAAGCCUGAGGGAGACCUGCAAUUCAAGUGGGAACGUGCCCAUGUUCGAAUAAGCACGAGAUUACAAAUAUAUUCUUCUCAGUUAUAUGUUCAUGAAAGCAAAGUUCUUUUGGAUAUAAAGAGUCUGGGCAUUGUAUAGUCUUUACAAAGAAGCUACCAAUCACCUGGAAGUGUUAUUUAGCUUCCUAGCUGUAAGCUACUCUGUUCCUUUGCAUAUCACCAAAAUUUUAUUUUGUAUAUGCACACAACAGACUGCAGCUCCCAGAAUUCUUUGGGGGAAGCCAUGACUGCUCAAAGUGGUAUCAUGGUGCUUUAAGCUUGCGGUGUGGAUUUAGCCGGGGGGGGGGGGAGGGUUUUCUGAAGAGAUUUCUGGCAGAGUGGAAAAUGAGGAGACUGCAGAGAGAGAGAAAAUGAAAAGUGCAACCUCCUUCCCUCAUAUUGUCCAGCAUUUCUUUAACAGAAGCUCUGCAGUCAAGGGAGUGACAGAGAUUGAAGCCCACAGCUUUGCUCCUGUCCAGAGAAAGGUCCGAGAGACUUACCAUUCUGGCCUGAGCGGUUUUUGUUUUCUGUCGUUCUAUCAAGAAGCUGUGCCCUUAGCUAACUGUUACUCUUGCUUCUUCCGCUUUUCCUUGUUAAACAUGUCACAGGUCUUUAUUUUCUUUAAGUGGUUUCAUCGUGAGAGAAUCAGUCACGUGUUAAGAUUUGUAAUAUAAUCCGAGACCAGGGAGAAGAGUCGGUGAAAGAAGACUGGAAGAAAUUUAAAGACUAUUUACAGAAAUAUUGUAAAAUUAAGGAAUCUUAGAAGGAUGUUGGAUAGAAACUAAGUGGUUUCCAGCUGUAAUGCUUUAAGAGAUACGAAAAAAGGUUUACAAAUGGGUAAAAGCUUAAUGGUAAGGAUUUGCUGAACUAACAAACUGAAAUGGAAUACAAAAAAGGGAGGUACGAGGAGGUCCGGGGAAAUAAGUGUAAGGAAGAUAUGCUUUGGAAAAUUAACGUGUUUUUAACUGUUUUUAUUUUGUAUGUCUCUUUUUUUUUUUGUUAUAUCUUAAAAACUUUAUUCUUUUUUCUGUAUUUUGUAUUUUCUUGCAUUAUUAUUUUUUGUUUUUGUGUAAUUCUUGUACUCUUUGAAACUUUAAUAAAUAUCAUAAAAAAAAAAGAUUUGUAAUAUAACAGGAACAGCAAGUGCGAAAGAGAAGGACUGUUCUGUGUACCGAGUUGAAUAGGAUCCAAAAUGCAGCAUUCUGAUUGGUCCUAGAACAAUAGGAUCCAGAAUGCAGCAUUCUGAUUGGUCCUAGAACAAUAGGAUCCAGAAUGCAGCAGUCUGAUUGGUCCUAGAACAAUAGGAUCCAGAAUGCAGCAGUCUGAUUGGUCCACAGGAGCCACCCAGUCCAGCUCCACGUGGAAGUGAAUCCGCAAUCUGAUUGGCCUAUAGGAGAAUCCCAGAAUUAGCCAAUCAUGUGGGGCCCAUUGUGUAAAUAAUGUACCAGACAUUCUGGGGGAACUUCCAUUCCUCCUCACCACUAUGAGCUGAAUAAAGAGCAUGGAAUCCACUCUCGACUCCGAGUAUAUUUCAGGCUGUAACCAAAACAAGAAUUUAAAGAAGUGCUUUGGAAAGCAAGUUUUGUUUCCAAAUAAUACCGGGAACCACAAAGUCUAAUCAGAAUUAAAGUAUGCUGGCUCUGUUUCCACAGCUUUCACCCUGUGUGGAUUUGUAGAAAAGCCGGUAUUUGUUUUUAGUGGGAUAAGAUAAUACUUUAAGAUAGAAGAGGGGUGGUUGUUUUCUGUUUCUGUUAGGCGUCCCACUGGUUUUUUCCAUUACAUCCUUUCAGGAAAUGCAGAAUUUUGGGGCUCUGGCCCUUUAUCCCAAGGGACCACUGGUGGGGCAACUAAGCUACAUUAAGAGUUUUACAUUGCAACCCUACACAUUUCUACUCAGAACCAAGUCUUGUUGAGUUCCAUGGGGCUUAGUGGAUAUAGGAUUGCAGCCAUAAUUGAUCCCUUAAUAUAUCUGCAUAAAACAUAUUCACCUUCUUAUCCAACAGACUUUGGGGGAAAUUGCCUGCUUCAAAUGAGGGUGCUGGUGCUGGACUGUUUUUAAUGUAAUUAUCUUUUAUAUCUCAAAUACAUCUUUUUAAUAUAGGUAGAUGGAGUUUUAAUUCUAUUAAGGCUUAUUUGGUUUUUUUUAAUGAUUGCUUUUCCUCUGUGCUUUGAGCUGUUCUUAUUUUAACUGCAAACUGCUUUGAGUCCCUGUCAGGGGAAAAGGCAGGGUAUCAAUAAAUAUAUAAAAGUAUGAAGUGAUAAUUCUAAAGAAGAUCACUCAUUUUUCUUUUUUUAGAUGAUCCAUGGCGCUCAAAGUGGGCACCAGAGAGGAUGGCAUCUUUUGGCUUCUAAGGCAUCACCUAUUAACCGUGAUAUUUGUAAGUACCUGUCUUUAUGUUUGUAUUAACAAUGUUCUUAAACUGCCCCCAAACUGGCAUUCUCUGGGCAGUUAACAAUAAUGUUCAAUACUAUAAGAGAUCAAAAUAAAUACAUAAAACAAGCACAAUAUAAAUUAAAAUAAAUAAAACCAGUGGCACAAAACAUGGAUGGUUGCAUCUGCCUUAAGUCAUACUUAUAGUAGUACGACUCAUGCAACACCUUGGCGAUUAAUAUACACACAAUAAUUACCAAAAUGAUUAUAUAUUCUUUGUCACUCUUCUGAGAAAAAUACAAAACAUUAUGCAAAGCCACAGAGACUUGCAAACUACCCAACCUAAGAUGAACUUAUAAUGUCUGAUUUCAAUGGAUUUUUCAAGUGCUUCACUCAGUCUUUUGUUUUCUUUAUCUUUUUAGGUAAGUUCAUGAAGAUACCAACAAAUGGUAAGUUUGGUGUUGUUCACAAUAGUCUUACUAUUGAAAUGGCAGAGAAAGUGGGGGAAAAAGAUGCAACAUAACUACUAGGCAGUCCUCUCUGGGGAUAAAAGUCAACCAGGUGCCACCACGGAAAAGUCCCCAUUUUAGUAAUCAUCUGUUGCUCACCAUUUGGCUGGGGACAUCCAAGAAGGCAUAAACGAGUUAACUUUUUUUUUUUUUUUUUAGAAAAUGCUGCAGCCUAGUUGAAAGGACUCUUCAAACCAUGUUUUUUAUUGUUUAGUGGAAGGAAUGCCUUCUUUUGCUAUCACACCGAAGUUAUUCUGCCCGCUCUGUUACCUCUGUUUCUUCAGGUAGCUUAGUGAUGUAUAUGGCCGUGUUUCCAAAGAGCCUGCUGCUUCAUAACAAUGUUUGGCAGUUUAGGUCAUCAUGUCCCCCAAAUGAAUGGUUGGCGGUUACCAUAGGGAUAAAAAGGCCUUAAGAGUCUUUGUGAGCCACAGCAUAAAAAAAGAGAGAGAGAGAAAACCCUUGUUUUGGCAUGUGUCUGCAGUAGAGUAUUCACAGUGGAUUGUGAAGCUUAAUUUCAGGAAUAAUAGAAGGGUCAAGGAACAGCUCAUUCCUUUCUGCCUCCAUAUUCUGUUGAGUAGACGAUGAAAAUUCACCAGCUGCCACAGCAGUAAAAACAUAUUUUCCCCAGAAAAGAAUAUUUUCGAUUUCUGAGGAAAGGCGUUUAAAAUAAUGCGGUGAAAGGCAUAUUGCGCCGUUCUAUUCCCAAGCAGCAUUUCGUUUCAUUUAUUUAUUUUAUCCUGCCUUUCCUCCAAAAUACGGCGCCGUUUUAAUUGUUCCUCCUUGUGAGCUGUUUGUCCUAAAUAAGCUAUACAUGUCAAACCACUCUCAACAUUGUUGGGACUAUAGAAUAAUACUGUUGUUCGAACCAGCCAACAUUCACAAAACAGUGCGUAAGCUUUUGAGUUACACAGAGCUCUUCUCUCAAACUGGAUGCUCAACAAUAUACAAAAGAGUGGGUUGGGGGAAAACGACUGGGUGAGCAGAGUGAGAGAUUAUGCUGGGCUGGAUAAACUUUGGGUCUGAUGCAGCAGGGCUUUUCAUCUGUUCAUUGGUGUUGGCGUGUAGUCAAGUCCUAUCUGCCGUUUGUUUCAGUUCUAAAUUGCAAGGGAGUGAGGGGUUACAAAACCAAAGCAAAUUAGAAUUGUGCCUUUGGAAGAGCACCUCAGGUCGCCUAGAGACAUACUGGAACCAAGGAGCAAAUGUAGGUUGUUCAUUUGGAUUAAGACGGUCUCUCGGUUAACAAAAUUUCAGCAGAAAUUCUAGCUAAGAGUUCUGAAUUUGUGGUUAGAUUUAACUGAUCUUAGAUUGGUCAUUUGAAUUUGCUGUGUGGGCACAUCUAAUUCAGGAUUAAGCUGGUUUAAUACCCAGGGAGUAUUAGGCACUGAAAUUCUAUGAGAGAGACUACCAUUCUCAGGAAUUUUUUUUUGAGGAAGCCAUCAUGUGAUCAGGCAUAGCUAUCACCACACAGUGCACCACAUCAGUGCAAUAUGUGAAUCAGCUACUAUUUCCGUGUGUGUGUGUGUGUGUGUGUGUGUGUGUAUUUUAAACCCCUGGCCCAAUAACAUAAUAGAACCAGCAGAUCUGUUGACCCCUGUGGCAGACCCCAAAAUGGCGCCAGGGAAGAAGGGGUGAGGGAAGAUCUAUAUAAGGAACAAGCAGGGAAUAAAGAUUGGGAUCAAGCACUGUCAGAAACUACGUUCUCCAGAACAGGAUCUACACAUCACUCUCCAUUUAGAUCAGAUACCUUUUCAAUUAUAGAGUCAGUAAGGUAUAGUAUGACUGGAACUUCAGCAAAUAAUUAAUAGCCCCCAAAACUUUGCCCCGCAAAGGGAGAGAAGGUUGCUAGCCAGUAUGAUCAAGGGUGAUUUCCCUUCUCCCAUGGGUAACGUAAUCCACUGAUACCUUAACUGACAAAUUGUUAGAGGAGGCCCCAGAUAGUUUAAUGUAUGCAAUGCAGGAAAUGUUUGUCAGGCUCAGCGCUGGAUUUAGGGCAGUGCGGAUGGUUCCUUGCACAGGGCGCCAAGCUGAUUGGGUGUAUAAUGAUAAUGAUAAUGAUAAUAAUAAACAAUAUUUAAUAUUAUUAAUUGAUAAGCUAUAUUUAUAUAGGUACCUACUGAGAAGUUCCAUAAAAAGCAACUGUACAGAAAGGAAUUAUUUAUUGAUGUAUACCAGGGAUCAGCAAACUUUUUCAGUAG